GAUCUAGUCUGCUAUAUGUAUCUAUGGUCUGAACGCCUGCUAGCAUCUCUGGCUGCUGCUGACCUGGUUUUUGGAGUAAAACACGGUGGAAGCUGAAUUAGUGAGGAUGACUCCUGCUCCUGUCAUCUCUAAGCUCCUCACACAUCUUUACCUGCACAUGAGGAAAAUCACUCCUGUAGAAUGCAGAUGUUCAGAGGGAGAUGAUGCCACAUCUGGUCCAGCUGAUGGAAGGUCUUGAAGUUCUCUGACUGGCCUCGACUGAAGAUGGUCGUCUCACUGGAUUUAAGGUUCAGAUGCUCAGUAACAAACUCCACCAAUGAGCCAACAGGGAAGCUUUAGGUUUAUUAAAUGUUGCUAUGAAGGUUUCGCUGUUUUUCUUAGUGAAUGCAAUGAGCUCCAACUGAAACUUGAAUUAGAACUUAGAAGUAAAUCCUUCCAUCUGAAAGGAUUUAGUUGCAUUAAUAACCUCAUAACAUUCUAAUUUUUAUUCCAGUCUUGGUUGGAAAUAGAAUCUCUGUAUUGAUUCAGGUAAAAACUGAACUUCACAGCAUGUUGGAGCAAAACAACCAGAUGAAAACUGUGAUGGUGUUGGAUUGUCAGACCGUAAUGUUGCAGCUCAAAGCAGCUUUUCUAUCUCAGUUCAUUCUGACAUUCAGCUAUGAAUCAACACAGCAGAUGGUGAUCCAUGCUGUGGAAGUCUCACAUCUCCUGAUUUAAUGGAGCUACUUUGCACUUUUUACACUGUUUAUUCACCAACACUUUAUUUAAUAAAAGUCCCA
ensembl:lncRNA